ACUGCUGAUCUCUGCUGCUGGAUCUCUGGUGAUUGUAGUUGUGAUUGUGUUGUUUUGUAUCUGGAGGAAACACAGAAAUGCAGUUCAUGAAGACGAGACUCCAGCUGCUGCAUUACUCUACAAACACAUGGGACUAAUGAGAGAAUCAGACGUGACGGAGGUGAUUUACACGUGUUUCAUUACAGAACACUGUAACUGAUUCGGUUUCCUCACAAAUCAUGUAGCCUAUUGAUCGCAAGAAAUGCAUCUGGCUUUUGCACUCGUACUAGAAAUAAAAAAAAUAUAAAAUUCUAACCAUUUUUACACUUACUGGUAAAAUGUGAUGAGGAUUCUGCUAUUAUAAGUAUAAGUAUACUGUAUAACUUAAAACAUUGAUUUGAGCUUCUGCACUGCUCAGUUUCUCCAGAAGAAAAGACCAAA